CCCGUACGGGAAUAGCGCGGGCGGCGCGUCGUGAGGGGAAAUGGCGGGGCUGAGGCUCCCUCGCGGCUCCGCCGAGGCGGGGCCGCUGGCGAUGGUCCGGACCGGGCCCCCGGGCCCUCAGGCAGCGGGGAGCCGGGGCGAGGAGCCCGCGGUUCAGUUUCCGCGUCAACAAAAUUGAAGCCGCUCAGGAGGAGCCGCCUCUGUUUGGUCUCCAUAAACUGCUGGAGUUUAACCUCCAUGAACAGUUCUGCAGUGGACUCGACUGAGGCUGCAAAGGGAGAGAAAGCAGCAGAGCUGGGAACAGCAGACAGUGUCCUGAGUCAUCUCCAGGCAGACACACCAAUGCAACAGCAGCACACAGGUGAUGGAGAUCUCAGUUGGAGAUGCAGCCAGCUCAGUCUGUGAGAGGUCCUGCAGGUGCCUCUGACAUUCCUGCUGGUUGGGAUGUUUGCCUCUGCUGGGAGACCCCUCCAUCCUCUUCCUGGUCAGGAAAGGGACACAGCUGGGCCCUGGAGUGGAGAGUAAAGGCAGGACUAGUGCUGAAGAGUGGAGUUCUUCUAUGUUUGGGAGUAAAUGUAGAUGAACAUCCCUUGCCUCUUGCUGAUGGAGCUCUGUGGUGUCCCUGCUUGCCCUUGGACACCAGAUGGACUUCCCAGUGAAAGAUGAGCCCGGCUGCAUUCAGACUGAGCCAUCCUUGCCAGCCAAAGCAGAUUCUUCAUGCCUGCUUCCAAGCAGCACGAGCUUAAACAACUGGUGUCAGAGUGGGGUGUCUCUACAGUCCUGGCCACGAAGAGAGGAGAUGAAAUGUUCUCCUGCUUGGAGCACAGGAAAGAGGCUGGAGCUGGGCUGCCAUCUCCACAACUGAAAAACUACAGUGCAAUCGGAGUUCUUUGUUCAUGUUUCAUUGCCUGCUUUGAGGAAAACAGUGAUCAGGAGAUGAGACACGAGCCUCGAGCCUCGGGGUGAGUGCAGAUCCCACCCCCCCAGCUCUGCCAGCACACUCAGCUGGGCCUGGCUCUCCCUUCCUGUCUGUCCCUGCUCUGGGAGGCAGAGAGGCUUUGUUCUGCAGGACUCAGGUAUUUCACCCCUCCAGCUGCUUCUAAGCAUCUUCUCUUCCAUCUCUGCUGAAAUGCCACAUAGGAGCACUUGUCACUCAUCUCAGCUUGCACUCAAGCUGUUCCCAGCACCUGGGCAUGGAUAUACAGGAGCUGUCUGUGGGGUACUUGCCAGGCUGUCAGACCACAGGCCCCUUUGGGAUCUGCCACAAAAGGUGCCCCGAGGUCUGGAGAGUGGGAAACUUUAUUCUGCACUAUCCCUGGUAGUGUUUCUAUGCUCCUAACACCUUUCAAACAGGUAGGUAGGUUCUACCUCACCUAGGUGUCCAUCCCUCAUUAUCUUCCUCCUAACUGAGGUACAUGCAGAGCCUGUGACACACAGUUGAGUGAUUUUUAUUCCCUCCACUUGAGGGAAGUAUCUUACAACGUUUUAAACUGGUCCUCUGUGAUUGACUCCUGCCACCUAUUUCUGAAACGCAGCCAACAAGGUAAAAGAACAUUUAGAAAAGUUAAUAGAUCCAUUGAGGACAGGAAGUGAACCCAGGAGUUGGGUAAAACACUGUAAACAGCCAAACCCAGCAAGGCUGCUCAAACCAGAGCCAUCCUGUGAGAGUGUGAUGUUCCUUCCUGCUUCCUUUUCUAUUUUGCUACAGAAACUGUUGGUGCAGUUGGUGGGUUCUCCCCAUGGGGCUCACUGCAAAGGAACUGCUCUAACAGCUCUGCACCCCUCCAGACAAGGUUCUUCCUAUGGAAGAGGUGAUGGGAGCUGCUCAAGGAGGUGUUUAUCCCAAGGCAUGCCCACAGGGUUAGGUCCAGCCUUCUUCAGUGUCUUCAUUAAUGAGCUGAAAGAGGGGGUAAGCAGCAUGUUAAUGGCAUGGAGGAUGAAACGAAGAGGGAACAAUGCCAAGGGCCAGGGGAGGUCACUGGUUCCAGCCCAGGAGUGAGCAGGGCCGGGCUGUGUCUGCCCCAGGCUCAGUCUGGCUUCACACUGGCCUGGUUUGGUGAGUCAAAUGCAGAGCUGGGGCUGAGUCUGGGCAGUCAGAGCAGCGGGUUGGGUUUGUGAGGGCAGCUGUUCAGCUGAGUUUUGGCUGCUCUGCUUUAAACCCCAGGUUUUCUGCAGACCCAACUUGUAAAUAUUUAAGCACACAAGUAGCGAGGCUGGGUAGGGGUUUGCAGGCACGGAGGGAGCAGAGGGUGUGUGAGCUGCAUGUCUGUCUCUCUCGUGUCUGCACCCGUAUGUGCACGUCUGCCAAUACCUUCCAGAGAGAUUUUCAUCCAGAGUGCUCUGACAGCCUUUCAGGCAUCAAUCACCCAGCGCUGCAAUCCCCCUGCAAGGUCAGGGAGUGUUACCAGCCUGUGCCUCCGCACUCCUCCGACAGCAAGAGUUUGUGCCUGAGCAAGGAGGGCUGGGCAGAGGGAUAGUGACUCCUGCAAGUGUGUGCAUUGCCUGCAGUCAGAGCUUUCCCGAUUCCCAGAGCCAGGGAUGGGAUCCAGGUCUCCUGAACCCCCGUUCCCUGCCUUGACCACUGGAAACACUUCCUCCCCACAGAAACCUCACCGUGAAGCCACCCGCCGGAGCAGGGCUUUGUAGUCUGGCAGGGAGAGCCCAGGCCCCGCUCUACCCGAUCCGCAGGCGCAUUUUUGGGGUUGCAUGUUUACUGAAAUCUUGGCUUUGCUGGUCUGGAGAGAAUAAAAGUUGAUUGUUCAGCAGCCAGGGCUCGGCGUCGCCCUGCCCGUACGUGUAACUGCUCAGCACAGCCACCCCAGGCCAGAGGGGAUGUUUGUGGGGCCGCAGCCGCCCGUGUGAGCGGCCUUGUCUCUGCUCUGUGGUAAACACAGCUCUGGUUACCUGCUCUCACUGGAGCCUUUCUGGCUUCUCCAAGCCUUCCCUCGGCCGCCUUGGCUUCAGGGCCUCGUGAUAGCUGGAUUGAUUUAUUUAUUUAAUAAUAGAACUUAAAGAAGGGGUUGUUUUCCAGAUUGCUCUGGCCCAGGCAGUGGCUGUCUCUGUGGAGCCAGGUCAUGAUGGGGUUAGUGUGGAGGGAAGCAGGGCUGCCUGGUGAGCCUCAGUUGCCAAUCCCACUAUUCCUUCUGCCCCUCAGCCUUCUCCCUGUAGCCCCCCUCCUCCUGCCCUGGCAGGAAAGUUUCCAGUGCUGUGCAGGCUGUCCAGACUUUUCCAGUUCCAUUGCUCUCAGGAUGUGGCAGGGAUUGUAUGAAAGGAAGUUCACAGUCCAAGGCUACAAACAGGACAAUAUGACAGUAGAGAGAAGAUGACAGAACACAAGGAGUGGGCCUUCCAUUGGUUAUUUAUCCCAUGCAGGUCCCUACAGGUAUCACAGCAUGUGCUUGCUGUCUCUCACUCUCUUGUAUGAGGGACAAUGACAUUUUCCCCACUGGGCUUAGCAGUGUUGUCUCUUUGUUCCCAUGGCUGGGAAGCAACUGCACUCUUUUGGAUGAUGGAUUAGUCAGCGUUUUAAACAAAAGUCAGAGGUCUGUGCUCUGAGGCAUCUGCUGCUCCUUAUCUGAAGGCAAUUAACUCCUGGCUGGGGUGGGAAAGGAUUCCCCUAAUCCCAGCUCCACAGACAGUGCCCACAGGUCGAAUGGGCCAUUGUGCUGCUUUAGGAGACUUGAUUUUAUUCAGCUGCCUAAAAUGCUGAGCUCUCUGAGCUCUGCCUUGGGCAGAGGUCAGUCCAACCACCCUGUCAUCGCUGCUCUCCUGGCUGUGGGUUUUACAGCAGGAGAAGGAAACCCAUCACCACGGUGGCUCUCUGACCUUGGCUGGGCAGGGUGUUCAGGUGCAUCUUAAAGACUCCACGUUCCAAGAGGCUGGAGUCUGUCACAGCACAGCUCUGCCUCAGGGGGGUCGUUUCCCUGAAGGUUUGGCUCUUCCUUCAGGAGUAAAUCUGCGUCUUCACACUCUGCCCAUAAAACUGAUAACAGCGAGAUUGCUUUACACAUCAGCAGCAGAAUGGAGACAGCAGAGGCAAUCAGGACCCAAAAUAAUUAUGUUUAUCAUCUAUAAUAAUCACACAGAGUCUAACAGCACAUUAGCACUUCCAGCAGGCAGCUUUCAGCAACACAGGAAUGCAGGCAGCGUUUUGGAGGAUGCACUGAGUGUUUUAAAGGACACCAGCCAUGGCUGAAUGUGCCCUGGGGGAUUCUCUGGGCUGCCAGCACCCCCUGCUAUUGCCUGUGUGGGGAACAAGGGCAGGUCCAGUGCUGAACCCGUCUCUGUAAAGUCUUACUGGGUGUAGUUUCCAGAGUCAGGCUAUGGAAACAACAACUCAGCCCCUUUCUCACUGAUCCCAGGUAUUUGGAAGGUGUAACCUGGAAGAGCCUGCAGCUGCUUGAACCCCUCUCCAUGGAAGGGAUUAUUCCAAGGGAACUCUCUUGAUGCUUCACUCUGUGAUGCUGUCUCUGCUCCUCCCUGUUUUCCUGCCAGUCCUGGAAUACAGAACCCUGAACAAGGACUUCAGGGCUGAGUUCCCUGCUGGCAGAACUACCCUCCCCUGUGAUGCUGUGCAGUCUGGGGGUGCAGGGCUAGAAACGUCCAAGAAAAUCCAGUGAUCUCAGUUCAGACCAGGUCCCUGCAAAAAACAUUUGCAAGCAGCAAACCCCACCAUUUUUCACUCCAUAACCCCCAGCUCGGUCCUCUCUCCACUGUUAGGGAAAGCCAGGCUUUACAGCAGAGGAGAACAGGCCAGAGAAGGUCUUGGCCAAAAGGAGAGCAGUCAGUCAGUGCAUUUAUCCAUUGGGUGGAAGGUCUCAGUAACUGUCUGCUUGGAAGGAAAGGUCUUAGAGCCAGAUUUGUGUGUGGAAUUAGUUGGAAUCCCAUCAAAAGGCUGUGACACUUCAUCUCUUCCACAGAACAUCUGAGCUGCUGCACAUUUAUUUAUUCUGAUGUUUUUGGUUAUAAAGUGGCUUUCUAAACCCCUUGUUUUCCAUGAUGAUCUCCAGAUGAGGGUGUCAAAUCCCUCCUUGCAGGAUGCCAAUCCUGAAGUGUCUCAGGGUGUAAGGGAGGGAUAGUUCCCAUCCUCUCUGUUUCUGUCAGUGGGAACUGGUGUUUCCCCUGCAGACACCACCCCACUGCCAAGAAUUCCACUUUAGCAAGGCUCAAAGGAGCUGCUUUCAGACCUGAAAGGGUUUUUUUUAGAGCCAAACAUUGAUGUAACUGCAUUUUUACUAAAAUCCAAAUGCAAGCCAAUCAGCCUUUCACUCCAGCCCUUCACUUUUCCUGCAGAUUGCUUUUCCAGGGGCACCCUCUGGCUUAUCUGCAGGACUGUGGGAUGCUGACAAGACAGGAGCUGUUCUCCUGUAUCUAAAGACAACCAGCUCAGGGUCUGAGCCAGACAGAUCUGUGGUGUGGGUACCCCAUGCCAGGGAGCUGAGGAGGGAGCUGAGCUCCAUGGAGUGCUCCAGGCCUGGCCAGGACAGCCCUGCUGUUCCCUGUGCAACUGAGACUCCCCUGCUGUGUCAGGGAUGUGCAGUCCUACAGUCAGAGGAUAAUGGGGGGUGAAAGGAGCCUCAGGGAGUCUUCAGAGCCAGCUUCAAAGUGAGGUCCAGUCAGUCUGGACAUCAUCCAGUCAGCUUUUGUGUCUCUUCAAGGGCAGGGAUUGUUCUGCCUCUCUGAGCCCCUGUCCCAGAUAAUUGGGUUUUCCAGGAGCUGAGCGCUCAGUAGCUGAGUGUGAAGUCCUUUCCAAAAUCUUUGCCCUUUUCUGUGCUGGCAGAGGUUCUGCUUGCAAAGCAGGUUUAUCACUGACUGAACACCCACCAGGCUUCCCCUGUGCUCCCAGAGCUCCUCCAGCCCCUUCAUGGGCUUUUCCAAGUGCAGAAAGGCUGACACUGGUUCCCAUCCCAGGGUGUACCCAGGGUGGGUUAGAAAUGCACAUUAGGACCAGAACAUCACAGUAAAUGUGCAGCAGCUCAGAUGUUUUGCUGAAGAGAUGAAGUGUCACAGGCUUUUGAUGGGAUUCCAACUAAUUCCACACACAGAUCUGGCUCUGAGACCUUUCCUUCCAAGCAGACUGUUACAGAGGACUUGGGGCCAGCCUAGACCACCCCUGGAUGCCCUGGCCCAGCUCAACCAGUCUGGGAAGACAGUGGGACCAGGAUAGCAAGGGGCCUGUGUGUCCCUCCCACGGUCCUGCAGAGGAGGGAAUGGAACAGCAGAGGAAGGUGCUGACCCAGGGAUGCAGCUGGGGGAGCCCCUGUGGUCGACCCUCAGCAGGAAAGCUGCAAACCUGAGCUCUGGGGUUUGGAACUGUGCCAGGAAAAAGGAGGAGGCUUGCCCUGGAAAGCUCCUACCAAAGUGUGAGACUGCUGGAGGAGAGCAGAGGAGCAGAGACGUGGUCCUGACAGUGAUCUGUCAAACUUGCUGCAGAGUCACAGCAAAAAGAGAUUGUGAGGAAGACAAGUGAGGAGCUUUAUGGAUGUUUUUCCCUGCUAGAAGCAUGAAUAAAGAAAAGCACGGCAGUGCUUCCUUGGAAAUCUGGUGGGUGGACUGGUGCUAUGAGCUGAUGGAAGGUGGGGGCUGAUCCUUCACAGUGAAUGGAAGGUGACAGAUGGGGAGAGGCAAGGAAAGGCCUUCAGCACUGGUAUAAUUAACUCACUCCUGAGAACAUCGGGAUGGGCUUUUUUCCUAAUAUGAUAGAGAAAAGAGGGGAUCUUUGACUGAGAGUAAGGGGAUAAUGGGAACUCUGGAGGUGAAUUUGGUUGGCCCUCUGUUCCUGAGACACUUGAAGCAAAGACCCUGUGCUGGCUCCAAGAGCAGAGGGAGGGCAUGGACUCCCUGGGCUGCAUCCCCUGGGGUGCCUCCUCUGAGCUUCAUCCAUGGCCCUGAGCUCUGGGUUUGGAGGAGGAGGUGAAGAGCUGAGGCCCCUUCACAGCAGUAAUGACUUCACACCCCUGCUUUUUCCCCAGGAGCCUUUUCCCUUGCACACUUAACGAGUCUGAGCUACUUCAUUGUGCCUCAGUAAUUGUGCUUUUAAUUAUGCUGUGUGUCUACGACCAUCUGUUGUGCUCUUUUCAGAAUCUGUUUCAGUUCUGAUACCCCCUUUUGAGAUGAAGGGACCACGGGUGCCCACAGUAUCCAAGGUGUGGAUGAAUCAUAGAUUUUUCUGUUCUGUUUUCUGCUUUCCAAAUGAUUCAUUCCACUUGAUCUGUUUCUCGGUGGUUGCUGAGCCUUGAGCUGACAUUUUCGUGGCACUGACAGCUUUAUGUGGAAAAAUGGGAGCCUACCAGGAGGAGUGAAAGUGGUGUCUGUUGGGAGAGGAAAAUCCUGAUCUUUUCAAGAGGAGUUUAUUUAGCCAAGGAAUAUCACAGGACUCUGAAAAGAGAGGUUACAGUGGCUCCAAGUGUGGCUGUCACCUGGGAGAGAGGCCAUUGGGAAGUCACUGAGGUUGGGAAGAUGCUGUGACUUGCCAAUAGAUGGAUAAGAGGAGCAUGGCAGACCUCCUGCUUGGGCAGGGCUGCAAGAGAGAGGGGAAUUGAGCCAGGAGAGUGAGCUGGAAAGGCUCCAGCUUCAAUAAAGGACAUGAAGAGAAGCAAAACAAGAGGGUAAUGAGCCAGAGAGCUUGUUAGGAAGGGAAGGCAACUGCACAUUUGGGCAGAGGAUGUCCAGCAACAUCUGGGAGGGGGUUACAUCCAGGGGUUGCAGUGAAAUGGGGCUGCACAGAGGAAGCAGCAGCAGCCCAGGCUACCUGUCCCAGUUCACUUGCAUACCUGAGGGAAUGGCUGGAGCUGUGCCAGGGGAGGUUUAGGUUGGACAUUAGGAAAAGGUUCUUCCCCCAGAGGGUGGUCGGGCACUGAACAGGCUCCCCAGGGCAGUGGGCACAGCCCCAAGGCUGCCAGAGCUCAAGGAGGGUUUGGACAAUGCUCUCAGGGACAGGGGGGGAUUGUUGGGGUGUCUGUGCAGGGCCAGGAGUUGGACUUGAUAAUCCCUGUGGGUCCCUUCCAGCUCAGGAUAUGCUGUGAUUCUCUGAAGUUAAGCUUGUGGAUCAGAUGGUCCUGCUCGCCCAGGCCUGGGAGCCCAAGAGGGAAGAUUUGGCCUGGAGGGUGAGAGCAAGGAAGAAAAUGUAGCAUUUGUUGGGUGUCAGUAUAUUUGGUGUAGGAUAAACAUGACUCAAACUGAGGCUGGAGUCCUGCAGGAACAGUGACCACAGCUGGAGGGAGACCAGGAGGUGAAAACCUGCAAGUGCCCUGUUCUAGUUUUUAGGAUAAGGGAAUAAAACUGUCAUCUGGGGCCGAUGUUUAUGUAUUUCUGGCACCUUGGGCAGUGUAAGGAGCAUCUUUUCUCUCACAGGGAGACAUUAAGGCUGGGUGGUUUCCUCUUUGUCCUGUCUGCCCUUGCCCUGGCUCCUUUCUCCUGGUGUGCAGGGGUGUUCUGGGCUGUCCCACUGUGCUAUGCCAGGCUGUGACACAGGAACACCUUGUUCUCACCAGGUGACCUCUGUGUCUGCACUCUUUGCUCUGUUACUCCCUGGGCCCAGGAAGCCAGCUUGGACAGCCAGCAGGGUGUGUGUGCCCAGUGCUGGCUGUGUCUCACUGCCCUGCACCCUCUGUGCACACAGACCAUGCUGCAGCUGGGGCUCUGAUCUGGGUCUGUGUGUGGGGACAGGCUGGGUGUGGGCAGAGUGGGUAUCCUAUAUGGUGCCAGACCCUCAGUACCCUCAGAAAAGUCUUAUUCCAUCCCAGACCACGGAGACCAUCCCUUGAUCUCUGGCAGUUGCUCCUUGUCUUGUUUUCUGAGCAUCUUUAAAAGAUAUUUUGGACUGCCUUGAUGUGAUUUCCUAAUGCCCUUUCUGCCCUUUCUCUUUCCCCCGGGCCUGACAACUUCCUGCCUUGAUGUCACCCAUCGUCACUGCUCACGUGGGGAGCAGUGAAAAGAAACACCUGAGUUUUGGUUUGCUGUCUCCGUUCCAACAUAAAUCACUCACAGAUCAGUUCAGGGGCUCUCUCUGUUACUCCUGCAUUCAGGUUCCUUUCAGUCUCCUCCUGUACCUGCAGGGUGAGAUGCCAAGCACCAGUCACGGGGCAGGACUGUAAAUGAGGUUCCUUCAAAAGCUGGUUCUGUUUAGCUCAAGGCUGUAAUGGGGAAACGGUGUUUCCAUUAAAUCCCCUUUGUAUGGGUCCCUGGAGCUGGGCUGUGGGCGAGAGGUGCCGGGAUCCCAACAGGCCCCUAAUUAAUUACCAACCCCCCUCUCUUUGUUGGCAGGGCAGGGCCUUCCCGCGCCGCCUCACGAGGGUUAAUUAGGGUGGAAGCCAAGGAGAGGCUCCGUUUCAGUGGCAAUCCGUUAACAUUCCCCCUGGCUUUAUUCCUCCCAGGCAUGUCUUGGCAUUGUGAGGGGAAGCCAAGGCUGAACAUAUGGCUCAUUGUGGACUGUGACCUUCCCAGAGCUGGGCAAAGCCCAGUGGCUGGAAUUUCCUUCAAGUGCCACUCAAGAGCCUACCUGAUGCCAUGGAAAGCCUCUGUGACAUUUCUGGGACAACAAACCCAUGACCCAAGUGCCAGCAGCUGCUGUUCCCUCAUGUUCUUCCUUACUCUACACCAUGGACAGCUCAGGGACUUCGGAUGGUGCAGCUGGUGCUUUGUGGGCUCAGUGCUUAGAGGUGGUGAACAGCAGCACAGCUCCAUGGCUGCUCCCUGGUGGGGCCUUGCACAGCUCUGGGAAUCCAGGGGACUGCAAGAUAAUGGAUUAGGAUCCCUGAAGGCAAGGUCUGUUGGGAUCUUACCCGUCAUCAAACAAGCAAGCACAUUUGGGGUGAGGUGUGGUAGUUCAGCAACUCUCCAGCCGUUCUGGGAGUGAAAUCCACGGCUGGCCGGCGUGAGAGAGACCUUGGCUAAGCAAAAUGGAAAUGCUCACAGUGGUUUGCCAAGAUCUGAGUGGGAAGAACCUUCCUUGGAAGAGGAUUUCCCCUCUUCUCCCGAGGAGUCCCCAGCUGCUGAAUGUGCUUUGUUGCCAUGGCCUCGUGUCUGGGAUUUGCUUUUCUCAAGACCUUGAAAUCCAUUCCCCUCCCCAGCUCCUCGUGGAGCUUGAUGCAGCCUGUCUUUGGGAAUGCAGCUGUUUGCUCCUUCUCUGGAAUCAGAAAAGAUUUCUGCUUUCUUUCCUUCUGCUUUGCAAUGACCUAAUUACUUAACUUCCCAUUGCAGCCUCUUCCUGCAGCACUUGCCAAAGAUUUCCUCAAAGCCUCCCGGCCCUGGCGCAGCAGGAGGCGGAUUAUUAAUCUCUCUGUGCUCAAGGUUAGAGGAGAUGUUUCCUCCUCUUGUGGUCUAGCAACUCUUCCAGACAAAUCUUUAGCCUUUCCAUUCAGCAUCAACCCACAGGCAGCUGGGAGGACAUUGGAGUGAUGAUGCUCAUUCCAAGGCAGUGCAAACUCUUUACAUACAGUUCCUCCAGGCUCCACUGGAAUAUCUCAUACUUAAUUCUUGGCAUGACUUGAUCCAUUCAGUCUUGGGAUGACUGGAGGAGUGUCUGGUCUCCCUCCUUCCAUGACAAAACAAGCCCCAUAAAUAGCCAUAUUCCUCUUGUGGCAGGGAGACUGGUGCACACAGUGGGUGGCAAAGGCUAAUGCAGACAAAAUAUAUCCCCUCUGGCUGUGGUUUCCCAAAUAUGUGAUGCCCUGGAGGUGUGGUAGUGCAUGGAGCAGAAGGGGAAUGUGAGAGGUGGUUAAACAGCCAUGUCCUGCACUAGGAUUUCACUCGUGUGCCUGUGCUGCAUGUGGGGAACAGCUGCUCUGCUCCACAGGAAUGCAGCAUCCAGGGAGGAGUGUCCCAGGCACUGCCUCCCUUCUCUGGGGGGUUGUGUGAGGGCAAAGUGCUGCCUUUGGGACCAAGACAAACAGUGGGUCUAAACCCACUAGACCCCCUUGGCCACCCAGUGACCCCAUUCCAGGAGAUCCUUUGGAGUGAGCAAAGCAUGGGCAGAUUUGCAGUGAUGUCUAAGGAGAAGGAAUAGGAAUCGAGCAGGGGAUGUUGGAAGGGUCUGGAAAGUUGCUGUUCAAGUCAAGGGAACUGGGUGUGACCGGUGCUGGAAAAGAGACCCAGGAGAUGAGUGGGGCAGGAGACAGGCGAGGUGUUUUAGAGUCACCCCGGCCCUUCCUUCCUUGAGCAGCUCUGCCGCUGCCACUUGCUCCUGCAGCACCACCAUCCCAGGACCUGCAGGGCUGUCUCCUGCCCAGGGGCUCCUGCCUUGUGCAGUCCUUUGGCUGGAGAGCAGCACUCUGCUCCCCCAUCCCACCCUGCACCUGUGGGACUGUGUGUAUCCAUCAUCCUGGAGCUGCUGGUACCCAGCACGUGCCUCAGCUCUGGGGCAGCAGCUGGCAAAUCCAUUUGCUCAGCAGGUGUGUUCUUGCAUUUGCUGGAAGAAUAGGCUUUUUGGAAGAGAGGGGGAAGGAAAACCUGGAGGGGGGGCAGGAGGAAAUAAAGGGAAGGAGAUGAGAGGGAAAAGGCAGUGAAUGACUGGAAGAAUUAGAGAGGGAGUGUGGAAAGGACUGCAUGUCCCCCGUUGCUUUGAGCACUCAGCAGAUCCUGUGGUGUGUCUGCUUUAUUACUGACAGAGUUCUCCCUUCUGUCGGCUUGUUUCCUAAUUGCUGGUCUUGUAAACUGCUUGAUUUAUGGCUCUGUUCAUCAGUCCUGGCCCUCGGGUAUAACAUGCUUUUCCUUCCAGGCUGGGAAGUGAAUAACGAAUUAACAGCCCGCCGUAGGUUCAAUGAGGAGCUGAGCACUCAGGGAUCCGUACAGGGAUGCACGUGCCAAAUGGAGCUGCUUUCAUUUGGACUUCUCAUUCACGGAGGGGAUUCAGCGAGAGCUCCCCCAGGGCAGCAGCAGCGUUGUGGCUGCUGGAGCCUUUGAAGUGUCCCACGAGAGGAGCCACCAAGGAGUGGUUUCGCCGUUGGUUUGCACAGAGAGCUCAAUCUGCUCCCUCGCAGGGGCUGCCAUUGUGUGCCACAUGUUUGUCUCGGACAAGCUUCCCUUCAGAACAGCCCAGGGAUGAGGAUGAAGAUGAAGUCAGAGGACAAAGGGCCCUGCUGAGCUGGAGCUGUGUCCCCAGUGUUCAGGCAGCCAUUGGCCUGGCUGUCACCCCUGGGAAGGGGUUUGUCCUAAACCCUGGAGAAGGGUCCCUACAGCUUCACCUCUGCUCCCACAGCCCUUGAUGGCAGCCCAGUGCCUUCCAUGCAUCUGUGAUCCCUAUGGCUAUGUGGUUUAUGAAGCAUCCAGGCCUUGGAAUAAUUAGGUUUGUCCAGCCCAGAAGGUUGUGAGGAUGGGAGCUCCCUUGGGUGGUCACAGCACCGAGCCUGUCUGAGUUCAAGAAGUGUUUGGACAAUACUCUCAGGCACAUGGUGGGAUUGCUGGGGGUCCUGCACAGGCCCAGGAGUUGAUGAUCCUGAUGGGUCCCUUCCAACUCAGCACGUUCUGUGAUUCUCUGAUUCUGUGUGGCUGUUCUUGACCAGUUCACAGGGCUGUGGUCAGGAAGUCAUGUCAUGUCCAUCCAGCAGCUCUGCACCACCAGACACGCUGUGGCAAACACUUCGUGAGAAAGAAAAUGCCUUUACAACACCUUUGUGAAGGAAGAAAAGUCUUAUAAAGAACUGUAGCAUAGGAGCUGUUCUGUGAGCGCAGUGCUCUGCAAGCAUGAGCUCAGGGCCUGCAGGUCUCCACAGGAUAAAGUUUAAGCUGACAAGUCCCCUCAGGACUUACAGCUCUGCCAUCCUGCUCUGGGACAGCCCCUCAGGAUGCUGUUCUGUCUCUGAGCUGCCUCAUGGCUGUGGCAGGUGAUUCUGAUCUACCUAAAAGGGGGAGCUCAGGAAAAUGGCUUUGUGCCCUCUGCACACUCCUGUAGGAUUCAACUCGGCAUCAUGAGGCUGUGAGGGAAGGAGAGAGCCUGGAAAGUCAAGUGGAGCAUUAAUGUAAGGCCUGCAGCACCUCGGGGGCUGUAACACAGAGGGAGUUUUAACACACCUGCUUAGUCCUGAUCCAGUCCUCAAUUGUCUGCAGGAGCUCAGCUGGAUGGAGUGUUUUCUUCCAAGAAUCCUACAGCAGUGACAGCUGCUGGUGUCUUUUUUUAUCUCUUAGGGCACCAAAACAGAAGUGAACCAAAGAGUACAGCAGUUCUGUCCUCGUGGCAUUAGCAGCACACCUUGAUUAGAUCGUCCUGUGUGCUCCAUCUCCUGCUCCUCCUUCCCUUGCUGGGUCUGCAGGUGCAGACACCUGUGUCACUGAGGAGCAGGGAGCACCUUUGAGCACCAUGAGCUGGAAGCAUCUUCCCAGCUCCAGCCUGUCCCUGGGUGUGCUGUCCCAAGCAGCCUGAAUGUCUCCAGUUCUUGUAUCGUUUUAUUCAGCUUCUCCCAAGGCUCAAAAACUGCCCAGCCCUUGGAGUGAGCUGGGCCCCCAUGUUCAUAUGCCAUAUCCAUAGAAUCCAUGGGAUCCCAGGUGUGACCUCUGUUUUUAUUCAAAAUCCAUGAGUUCUCACCCCCACUGCCUCCUUCCAACAAACCUGGCAGGCUGGGGCAGGACAGUGGAUCUUGGGGUGCAGAGCAGGAUGGGGAGACUGCAGCAUUCCUCAUGGGACACGAGCACCCACGGACCAGUCAUUUGGUUCCUCGUGCCACGUAGUCCAGGAUCCUGGAGCGUGAGGAUAGGAGAUCAAAAGAGCCUCUUGCUUGCCUUUCACACAUCCUAUCACCGAGAAUAUUAACUACAAAUCACUAAACUAGUCUGAAUAUGUACUCAAAGUCCAGGUGCUAUCACUUCCUGAUAAAAGAGCUUGAACUGCUCUUGGUUCAGUGUGAGUGUGCUCACACCCCUGCAGAAUCUGUGCCACAUUUCCUAAACUGCAGGGCAGGCAGGAUGGCUCAGAAACAAUCAAGGCAGGAGGUUCAAGGUCUUGGCUGAUCAGCCACCUGCGGCUGCGAGCCAGCAGCCGAGAUCAGAGGAGCAAUAGUCCAGGAUCCGUGUUCAGGGUGGUCAGAGGAGGUGCCUGCCCCCUUCCCCUCCCUCCAUGCAGAGGUUGGAGGGGUUUCUAAACUUGGGUCCAAAUCACCUCCUCUCUGGGUGCUGCCGUGGGUGACACCACAGCACAGGCAGCCUCUCCUCCGACCUGUUCCUACUGCUCACACUGCCCAAGGGGCUGGAAAUGGGAUCAGAGGGAGAUGCUUCUCUUUAAACUCGAUAUUCACGUGGCGAGAUCCUCUCUGUCCCCUCUGACCUGUGCCUGCCUGGCUGCCAGUGUGGAUCUAAGUGCUGCAGCGUUUAAUCACCUUCCAGGCGAUUGAGCAGGAGCCGUUCCCAAGCCGUGAGCAGGAAUUAUCUCGGGCUGGUUGGAGCAGUAACGACUCCAUCAGUGAGUGGAGUUCCGUUGCCUGGAUGCAGCUUACAAAAAAGGCUGCUGGUAGGAAGGGGAUAUCUCACAGCUGAAGGUGUGAUGGAUGAGCGUCUGUUCCAUCUUUAGAAUGUUAUUUUUUUUAAGUUACUGUAUUUCAGCGAAAGGUUACGGCCCCUCUGCUGUCAGGGCUCUUCCUGCAGCUCGGUAAGUGGCUCUGCUCGUGUGUGUGUUCUGUGCAGAGCAGAGUCAAGCAGGGCUGUGUGAGGGCCCUGCUGACACUCAGCCCUUGUCGGGGCUCCAAGGGCCUGCCCUGCACUCAUGGUGCUGCCCCGGGGCACUGCCAGCUCAGCAGGAACUUCUGCCCAUCCAUUCCACUGCAGCUGCCUUGAAAGGAUGGAGCUGGGGAGGUUUUUGGGGGUGAGCCCCUGGGUUUGUGUGUGAAGCUGAGGAACAGCGUGGAUUUUUUGGUCAGAGAUCACAACCAGCACUGUGCCCUGGACAGAAGGAGAUUCUGGACCUUGUAUCAGUUGGGCAAGGAGGCUCUUCCUGGCUCAGUGCUGUAAGAAGUGGCUGGUGUCAGAGCUGUGGGGCUGAUCUGACCAAGCCUAUGUCCUCCAAGCACAGAGAGCAGGCUGCACACAGCAUUUUGGUGGUUAUCACCCACCAAAGACCUGGGCCAGAAGCUCUUCCCCACUUCUGAGGUUCAUGGUGACUGAAUUCAGCUUUGAAGGGCUCCUGAGGUGAGGGAAUAAGGAUGGUCACAGCCUUCCUCAUCAAGCUGCAGUCUCUGGAGGCUCUAUGGGUCCAGGAUCCCCGGCUGCCCUAAAGAGCACAAAGGGAAUACUUCUAAAAAUGGCCUCAGCUAAGGGAUGUUUGACACAGGUCUGGGUUGGGAGCGCUCAUGAGAAGCAAGCUGGGCUGUGGUCUUCUAAAACCUGUGGGGACUGAGGAUGUGAAAUCUGGGACACCAGCAGUACACCUGCUAAUUCUUCAUGUACCCAAAUCCAUCCAUCCUCAGGGACCAGGAGGCAGAAGGGAAGUGUUUAUGCAUGUGUAGAGUAUGGGAAAGGACAGCUCCUCGUGGCUGAGCCGGAUUAGGGAGCAGUGAGAGGGGUGCCCUGGCUGGCAGAUGGCACAAGGGUGGUCUCAGGGAGUGGGCCAUGGCAGAGCUGCUCUUCCCUUGGCAACACUUGGAGCCUACAUCCCUCCUCCCUACCCACAGGACUGCUUGCAAGCUAGAGGGAGAAUCUGGUGGCAGGCCCCACAAACAUUUGGGUGCUUUCCAGAUCUCUCCCACUCCUGCAGCAGCUCUCAACUUGAAGCCAAGGACACGGAUUAACUCUCAGUCUGCCUCUCUCCCCCCCCCAGCACAUCGGCUGUGCUCCGGCUCUGUACCCACGGGGAUGUGCUUUCCCUGAGC